CAUAAACCAUGCCUGCCAGCGAUCCGCCGGCGUUCCUCCGAUGACCCGGCGGGCAGCUUCCGGGAAACCAGAGCUUUUGGGUUCCGGGGGAAGUAUGGUUGCAAAGCUGAAACUUAAAGGAAUUGACGGAAGGGCACCACCAGGAGUGGAGCCUGCGGCUUAAUUUGACUCAACACGGGAAAACUCACCAGGCCCGGACACCGGAAGGAUUGACAGAUUGAGAGCUCUUUCUUGAUUCGGUGGGUGGUGGUGCAUGGCCGUUCUUAGUUGGUGGAGCGAUUUGUCUGGUUAAUUCCGAUAACGAACGAGACUCUAUCCUAUUAAAUAGACGCAUCCGGUAUCCGCAAUCGUGCUACCGGCGAAUAAAUUUCUUCUUAGAGGUACGGGCGGCUGCUAGCCGCACGAUACUGGGCAAUAACAGGUCUGUGAUGCCCUUAGAUGUCCUGGGCCGCACGCGCGCUACACUGAAGGAAUCAGCGUGUCUUCCCUGUCCGUGAGGACCGGGUAACCCGCUGAACCUCCUUCGUGAUAGGGAUUGGGGCUUGAAACUGUUCCCCAUGAACGAGGAAUUCCCAGUAAGCGCGAGUCAUAAGCUCGCGUUGAUUACGUCCCUGCCCUUUGUACACACCGCCCGUCGCUACUACCGAUUGAAUGAUUUAGUGAGGUCUUCGGACUGGCGCGCGGAGUCGGCAUCGUCGCCUCCGAUGUCGUCGGAAAGAUGACCAAACUUGAUCAUUUAGAGGAAGUAAAAGUCGUAACAA
rnacentral:rRNA from 1 species